rnacentral:rRNA from 1 species
GAUGAACGCUGGCGGCGUGCCUAAUACAUGCAAGUCGAGCGAACAGACGAGGAGCUUGCUCCUCUGACGUUAGCGGCGGACGGGUGAGUAACACGUGGAUAACCUACCUAUAAGACUGGGAUAACUUCGGGAAACCGGAGCUAAUACCGGAUAAUAUAUUGAACCGCAUGGUUCAAUAGUGAAAGACGGUUUUGCUGUCACUUAUAGAUGGAUCCGCGCCGCAUUAGCUAGUUGGUAAGGUAACGGCUUACCAAGGCGACGAUGCGUAGCCGACCUGAGAGGGUGAUCGGCCACACUGGAACUGAGAAACGGUCCAGACUCCUACGGGAGGCAGCAGUAGGGAAUCUUCCGCAAUGGGCGAAAGCCUGACGGAGCAACGCCGCGUGAGUGAUGAAGGUCUUAGGAUCGUAAAACUAUGUUAUUAGGGAAGAACAAAUGUGUAAGUAACUAUGCACGUCUUGACGGUACCUAAUCAGAAAGCCACGGCUAACUACGUG